rnacentral:tRNA from 1 species
GCCCAUGUGGCUCAGUUGGAAGAGCAUGGUGCUUGCAAACCAAGGUUGUGGGUUCGAUUCCCACGGCA